rnacentral:rRNA from 1 species
UUGGAGGGCAAGUCUGGUGCCAGCAGCCGCGGUAAUUCCAGCUCCAAUAGCGUAUAUUAAAGUUGUUGCAGUUAAAAAGCUCGUAGUUGAAUUUCGAGAUCAGUACGCUGGUCGUGCCUUCGGUAUGCACUGGUGUCACUGGUUUCCCCCUUCUGAAGAACCGUUAUGCCAUUCAGUUGGUGUGGCGGGGAAUCAGGACUGUUACUUUGAAAAAAUUAGAGUGUUUAAAGCAGGCUCGCGCUUGAAUACAUUAGCAUGGAAUAAUGAAAUAGGACGUUUGACCCUAUUUUGUUGGUUUCUAGGAUCGACGUAAUGAUUAAUAGGGAUAGUUGGGGGCAUAGUAUUCAAUUGUCAGAGGUGAAAUUCUUGGAUUUAUUGAAGACUAACUACUGCGAAAGCAUUUGCCAAGGAUGUUUUCAUUAAUCAAGAACGAAAGUUAGGGGAUCGAAGACGAUCAGAUACCGUCGUAGUCUUAACCAUAACUAUGCCGACUAGGGAUCGGAUGAUGUUAAUUUUUUAAUGACUCAUUCGGCGCCUUACGGGAAACCAAAGUGUUUGGGUUC